rnacentral:rRNA from 1 species
AGCAGCCGCGGUAAUUCCAGCUCCAAUAGCGUAUAUUAAAGUUGUUGCAGUUAAAAAGCUCGUAGUUGAAUUUCGAGAUCGGCUUACUGGUCGUGCUUUUGUACGUACUGGUAAAUCGGUUUCUCCUUUCUGACGAACUUUAAUGCCAUUAAUUUGGUGUUUUAGGGAAUCGGGACUGUUACUUUGAAAAAAUUAGAGUGUUUAAAGCAGGCUCACGCUUGAAUACAUUAGCAUGGAAUAACGGAAUAGGACGUUUGAUUUUAUUUUGUUGGUUUCUAGGAUCGACGUAAUGAUUAAUAGGGAUAGUUGGGGGCAUUAGUAUUCAAUUGUCAGAGGUGAAAUUCUUGGAUUUAUUGAAGACUAACUACUGCGAAAGCAUUUGCCAAGGAUGUUUUCAUUAAUCAAGAACGAAAGUUAGGGGAUCGAAGACGAUCAGAUACCGUCGUAGUC